CUUGGGGCGCGUGUGCGCUUGCGCGCGGCUCAGCUGGUGGCGGGGCGCGUGCGAGGGAAUGCCGUGCCGUGCCGUGCCGUGCCGUGCCGUGCCGUGCCGUGCCGUGCCGUGCCGUGCCGUGCCGUGCCGUGCCGUGCCGUGCCCCAGCUCGGCGACCUGGCCCCAAAGCCGGUGGUAGCACGCGGAACCUGCCCAGCUUUGCACCUCGGGGACUUCAGCAGCUCUCAGUGCGUCGUGAGCAGGGCAGGUUGAACCUGAAGGAUGGCCCCAACAAAGCGGCAUUCAGUGUGACAACACAGUACCAGGGCACGUGCCUCUGCAAGGCCACUAUCUACCUGUGGAACUGGGAUGACCAGGUGGUGAUCUCUGACAUAGAUGGUACCAUCACCAAGUAAAGGGCCUCCCCAUGUCUUUGUUUCACCCAUUAGGUCUGAUGCCCUUGGGCACAUCUUAUCACAUCUGGGAAAAGACUGGACUCAUCAUGGCAAUGCUAAGCUCUUCCACAUAAUCCACCUGCAAGGAUCAGCUCCCAAAGGGAAGUGGGAGGGUGAUAGAGGCUGAACGGGAGUCAAUGUGAGGGCUCCUGAUUCACAGAUGCUGGCUAACAUAGCCCUAACUUUGUGCUGUAAGUUAUGGCUGAGGCUUGCUGUGCUGUCUGGGAUGCUGGGGGCACACGGCAGAGGUUUUCACUGCAGGCACCUGACAUGCAGCACUGCGGCAUGAGUAGUUCAGGUGACCCUCGGUCCUCUUGUUGCAAUCCAUGUGAGAGGGAGCACAGUAGCGGAAGCAGAGUGGGUCGUUUCCCCCGGGAUGUGUGAUGCUCCCAGCCUCUCUGGCCGCUGAGAGGCACUGUGGGCCCGCAGAUGGCUCAUCCCCACCUCGGCUGGCUCCUACCAUCUCCUGCCUUGUAAGAGCUCGGUGCAUCCCAGCCUGAGCUGGGGGCAGACCAGGGAGCCGUGCCCAGCUCUCUUUGUUGCUGGUGGGAGUGCUGCUCCCUGGGUCUCUCAGCAGCAAGGCAGGGCAAUCGGGAGGGCUUCCCUGCGUUCUCCGUGGGAAUGGCUACAAGUUCUUCUACUGCUCAGCCCGAGCAAUCAGCACAGCACACAACGCCGAGGGCUACCCCAAGUGGGUCAACGAGCAAGGCUGUGCCCUUCCCGGGGGCCCCAGCCUGCUUGCCCCCAGCAGCCUGUUCUCUGCCUCCCGCAGGUACUGCCCUCCCCUCUCCCUGGUCCUGCACCCUGGGGAUGGCAUUCCCCUCCCUGCUGCUACACUGGGGGAUGCUGCAGCCUUAAGGUUGGCUUCCUCAGUGCACGAUGCCUGCCCCGGGAGGCAGCAGGGCACAGCUCAUCUUCCUUAGAGCUUCAUGGUGAAGCUCUCACAAUGCACAAAAUCUCUUGUGCUUUCCAAGUAUCUUCUCUGAGCCCCAGACUGCCUGGCUGCGUGUAGUCCUUCCUGCACUCUGACCUCUCAUCUCUCCAUCUACCUUGUGCUCCAGAGAGAUCAUUGAGAGGAAGCCAGAGGUGAUCAAGACAUGCUUGACUGACACUCAAAAUCUGUGUGCCAGGGAGAUGCCCUUCUAUGCAGCUGUUGGGAACAGAGCCAGUCAGGAUGUCGGUGCUUACAAGCAGCUGGGUCUGCUCGAGAGCCACAUCUUCACAGUCAACCCCAAGGGAGAGCUGAUCCAGGAGCUGAUGAAUCACAAGUCAACGCACGAGCAGCUAUCGGAGGUGGUGGAGCUGAUGUUCCCUCCCCUGGGGCAGGUGGGGGAGCACGGCUCUGCUGUGCCCUGACUACAGCCACUUCACCUACUGGACCCCUGCUGCCUGCUGUUGACUUGAAGGCCUUCUCCUGACCCCAUCACCUGUGAGGACCUGCCCCAGGGCUCUCUGCGAGUCCUGCCAGGACCUGGUGCUACAGAGGCAUCUCCUCAUGUGCUGCUCGGCCAUUUUGUACUUCUAACAGGUCAUGUUCUGCACUAAAUCAGCUCUUCUCACUGCACAAAGGGAGCAGUAAGGAGAGCUCUGACUCCUGAAAACUUACUGUACUUCUAUAAGCCAAGUGUCUUAAUAUUCAUCCUCUUUAAACCUGGCUACCUUUUAAAGGUGAUGAUGGGUCACCCUUAUUUAUAGAUGAGCCUCUGGCAUGACUGCUGCUAUUACUUCUACUGUGUGGUGCAGCUGCUGGAGUGAAGCUGUUGUGCGUCUUAACUUGUAAAGCUGGAUGGAAGCUGCUGGGCUUUGAGCAUUUUUUCACUAGCAGCAAUAAUUAAUAAACAGGGCUUUAAUCCAGGCUGCCUCUUGUCCACAGUACAAGGCAGGAACACUGCUGGGCUCCUUCCUCUGCUCUGCAUCCAGCUUUUCCUUGUCUGAUGCUGUGUGAGUGUGAACCGCUUCCUGCUAGCCUGAUUCCCUCUCUUCCUAUCCAAAUAGCCUCAGUGUUUAACUUGAGCCCUCUGUCUUAACACAAGGCGGGUGUUAUGCUUCUCUCUUUUUUCCUAAAGCCACAGAAGUCAUUUUGAUACUGGAAACCUCAGCAAGAAAUAUUUUAUUUUUCCUUUCCAGUACAAACAGUCUUUCAGCUUUUAACAUCUGAACAAUGUACAAAGUUUUAAAAACAAUAAAACACAGCCUUUUACCAGUAUCUAUUGCCAGCUGCCUCGGAAAGCUGCCCAGCACAAAACAACCGUGUGGGCACCAUCUCCUUCCCUCUCUGCAAGCAAAAAAAAUGCCCUAUUUUACACCAAGUUCCUUUCACUUUUAAACACUGAUAGCUGAGAACUGAAAUACAAACUAUCUUCAAGUGACUAGUCAGGAAUAGUCCAAACAUAGCACCAUGUUCUGGAAGGUCAGACUUCUUCCUUGUCCCGGUUCGGUCAGUGCCAGCCCUGGCUCUGUGCUGCAGGAAGCUGUUCUGCUGCUUUCUCCCCCAGCCCUGGCUGCUCAGCUUGGCAGAGGUGAGCCUGGGCUGGGUUUUCUCUUUGGUUGCUGCAGCCCUUUUUGGGCCUGGGGCAGGGUGCUCCUGUCUGUAGGACAAGGAUGGCCCCGGUCCAUCACAAGGGCUGCCUUGAGCUCCCUGCCAGGGGGAAGAAAUGAGUUUGUGCUGCUUAAGAGUAGGUUUUUUGGGAUACCCAAAAGCAGCUGGAGGUUGCUC